UCUUACUUUUGGAAGCGAAACUGAGGCCGCGUUGCCUGCUGGGAAGUGUAGUUCAGCGGUGGCCGAGUCCUUCAGAACUGGCCGCUACGAUAAGGCGGGUGAACUCCCAGCGCUUGAAUACCCGGGGCCUAACCGUCCACUCGGAAGCCUGGCCCCUCUCGGGAGGCUCUGGAGUCGCGCCUGGGGUCAGGGCCGGGGGCGAAUGCGGUUCGCGUUCUGGGCCUCCCUGGGUUGGAAAGAGACUAUUUUAGCAAGUGUCACGCCAUGCUUUUGCCAAUUUUCCAAUUAAAGGUUGACAUUCCUGCAUAAGCAUUUCUCUGUGAAAAUGUCCUUGCCUCUUACAGAGGAGCAGAGGAGAAAAAUUGAAGAGAAUCGACAAAAGGCUCUGGCCCGUAGAGCCGAGAAGUUAUUGGCAGAACAGCAUCAGAGGACUAGCUCGGGCACCUGCAUUGCUGGCAACCCAUCCCAGGCCAAGCAAGGCCCAUCCCAAAAUUUCCCAAGGGAGUCUUGUAAGCCAGUGAGCCAUGGUGUAAUUUUCAAGCAACAGAAUCUCAGUAGCUCAUCUAAUGCUGACCAAAGACCUCAUGAUUCCCACAGUUUUCAAGCAAAGGGAAUAUGGAAAAAGCCAGAAGAAAUGCCUGCUGCCUGCCCAGGCCACAGCCCACGAAGUCAAAUGGCUGUCACUGGAAUCUCUCCUCCCUUGGCACAAAGUCCUCCAGAGGUCCCUAAACAGCAGCUCUUGAGUUAUGGGUUAGGUCAAGGUCAUGCCGAGGCUUCACCUGAGAUCAGGUUCACACCCUUUGCUCACCCAACUCAUGAGCCUUUGGCCAAAGCAAAGAGUUCCCAAGAGACACCAGCUCAUUCCUCUGGACAGCCUCCCAGGGAUGCUAAGUUAGAGGCCGAGACAGCAAAAGCCUCCACCUCGGGGCAGAACAUUUAUUAUAUCCAUUCGAGCUCAGGGACAGAAGGAAGACUCCAACAGAAGUCAGGGUCCUCAGUCGAAAAAGGAGUGAUCUCUCAGAAGGGAAAGUGCAUAAGGAACGGCGAUCGUUUCCAGGUGUUAAUUGGGUACAAUGCAGAACUCAUUGCAGUGUUUAAGAGCCUGCCCAGCAAGAGAUAUGAUCCUGACACCAAGACGUGGAACUUCAGCAUGAAUGACUAUAGUGCCCUGAUGAAAGCAGCCCAGAGCCUCCCCACGGUCAACCUGCAGCCUCUGGAAUGGGCCUAUGGCAGCAGCGAGUCACCCUCCACCAGCAGUGAGGGACAGGCCGGCCUUCCAUCAGCUCCGUCCCUUUCCUUUGUCAAAGGGCGAUGCAUGCUCAUAUCCAGGGCCUACUUCGAAGCAGACAUCGGUUAUUCACAGGACCUGAUUGCACUUUUUAAACAGAUGGAUUCCAGAAGAUACGAUGUCAAGACCAGGAAGUGGAGCUUUCUCUUGGAAGAGCACAGUAAACUAAUUGCAAAGGUGCGCUGCCUCCCACAAGUUCAGCUGGAUCCUCUGCCCACGACUCUCACCCUGGCAUUUGCUUCUCAGCUCAAGAAGACAUCUCUCAGUCUCACGCCAGAUGUCCCAGAGGCAGACCUUUCUGAAGUGGACCCCAAGCUCGUGUCUAAUCUGAUGCCCUUUCAGAAAGCUGGAGUCAAUUUUGCCAUAGCCAAAGGAGGCCGCCUGCUGCUCGCUGACGACAUGGGCCUGGGGAAGACCAUCCAAGCCAUCUGCAUCGCAGCCUUUUACCGGAAGGAGUGGCCUCUCCUGGUGGUGGUGCCAUCCUCCGUGCGCUUCACUUGGGAGCAGGCCUUCCUUCGGUGGCUACCGUCUCUGAGCCCAGACUGCAUCAACGUCGUGGUGACUGGGAAGGACCGCCUGACAGCUGGCCUGAUCAACAUUGUCAGCUUUGACCUUCUUAGCAAGUUGGAAAAACAGCUAAAAACCCCUUUUAAAGUUGUCAUCGUUGAUGAAUCUCACUUCCUCAAAAACAGUAGGACUGCCCGCUGUCGAGCAGCUAUGCCAGUCCUAAAGGUUGCCAAGAGGGUGAUCCUGUUGUCGGGCACACCAGCCAUGUCCCGGCCCGCAGAACUCUACACGCAGAUCAUCGCAGUCAAGCCAACGUUCUUCCCCCAGUUUCAUGCCUUUGGACUUCGCUACUGUGAUGCCAAGCGGAUGCCUUGGGGGUGGGACUACUCAGGUUCCUCCAACCUGGGAGAGCUGAAGCUUCUGCUGGAGGAAGCGGUCAUGCUGCGGCGCCUCAAGUCUGACGUCCUUUCCCAGCUGCCUGCCAAGCAGCGCAAGAUAGUGGUGAUUGCCCCAGGACGGAUCAAUGCCAGGACCAGAGCUGCCCUGGAUGCUGCAGCCAUGGAAAUGACCACCAAGGACAAAACUAAACAGCAGCAGAAAGAUGCCCUCAUUCUCUUCUUCAACAGAACGGCUGAAGCUAAAAUCCCAUCUGUCAUUGAAUAUAUCUUGGACCUACUGGAAAGUGGAAGAGAGAAGUUUCUAGUGUUUGCACACCAUAAGGUGGUCCUGGAUGCAAUUACGCAGGAGCUUGAGAGAAAGCACGUGCAGCACAUCCGUAUCGAUGGCUCCACCUCGUCGGCUGAGCGGGAGGACCUGUGCCAGCAGUUCCAGCUGUCGGAGAGGCAUGCCGUGGCCGUGCUGUCCAUCACUGCUGCCAGUAUGGGCCUCACCUUCUCCUCGGCUGACCUGGUGGUGUUUGCUGAGCUGUUUUGGAACCCAGGGGUGCUGAUCCAGGCUGAGGACCGCGUGCACCGCAUUGGACAGACCAGCUCGGUGGGCAUUCACUACCUCGUGGCAAAGGGCACAGCUGAUGACUACCUUUGGCCCCUGAUUCAAGAGAAGAUUAAAGUUCUGGCGGAAGCCGGGCUUUCUGAGACCAAUUUUUCAGAAAUGACAGAAUCCACUGAUUACCUCUACAAGGAACCCUGCUUCACCAAUGUGGAGGGAUUUGGUUAAGGAAUGGUGAGACACAGUGGCCAGCUGGCAAAGAUCUGUACGCUGUUUGAAAUGGAAAGAAACCUGAGGCAGGAAGAGCUGUUGCAAAUCCAUGCAGUACCAAGUGAUGUGGCCCAAGUAAAGAUGGUGCCUAGAAGGAGAGAGGAGGGAACUGAUGAGGGUAACAAACUUGCAUGAGCCGAGGACUCUGUUUGCCUGGAUGAUUUCCACCUGGGAGACUACGAGAAUGCAGGACCCAAAGCAGCAGAAGAUCUAUGACCUAUUCCAGAAGUCCUUUGAGAAAGAAGGAAGUGAUAUGGAGCUCCUGGAAGCAGCAGAGUCCUUUGACCCAGGAAGUGC